rnacentral:rRNA from 1 species
AAGCCCUUUGCAAUAUAGAAAAAUCUGUUUUUUUGUGGUAUUUUUAAAGAGGUCUAUUGUUUCUGAGCUGAGAAGGCUGUCAAGGAAAAAUAAAUAAAAGUUCUUGAAGUGCGUACUUUUUGUAUAAUGGCUCAUAGAGAGAAAUAAAAUAUUUUGUUUCCAGAAAAUUUUAGAGCUAUUUUUUUUAUUUAUAUUGUUGCAACAAUAUGAAAAAUUAAAAAUAGAUGUGACAUGUAAGGCGAAAAAGUUGAUAUCUGGUUGAAGAGGAAAUACAUUUAGUGUAGUGAAAAGCAUAGAUAUAGUUGAGACCACAGCUUUUAUCUGGUUUUGCAUGAGACAACAAGGGGUGAGCUUUGUUGUUUAUUAAGGAGAGUAUUAAUAAAGUAGGGAUAAAAUUUUCAAACUUUCAAAAUUUUUAAUAAAAGUUUUUAUAUUUCUUUUUUAUAGCUAUUCUUCAUUAUAAAAAAAUUUUUUUUUUAAUAUUAGUAUGAGAUUAGUAUAGUAAAUGUAAAUGAUUUUGUUUUUAUCAAGGUUUUAAAAAACUAGACGUGGUGGCUUAAAAUAUUUUACAAAGGAACUAGGCAAAAAUAUUUCCCGCCUGUUUAACAAAAACAUGGCUCCUUGAAAACGAAGAUAAGGAGUCGGCCCUGCCCGGUGGCGUCGUGCUUAACGGCUGCAACGAGUAGUUGUGCUAAGGUAGCGCAAUUAAUUGUCCUUUAAUAGGGGAAAGGAAUGAAAGGGUUGACGAGGAAAAAACUGUCUCUGUAAAAUCGCUUGAAGUUUUCUUUUAAGUGAAAAGACUUAAGUGAAGAAAUAAGAAGAGAAGACCCCGUCGAGCUUGAAUAAUAGCUUCAUUGAAGGGGGUUAUAAAGUUUUGUUGGGGCAACAUAAAGAAAAAGAUAUUUCUUUAACUGUUUUAUAAAGAUCCAUUUUGAAUGAAUAAAGCAAAAGUUACCGUGGGGAUAACAGCGUAAUUUUCUUUUAGAGUUCAUAUCGAAGAGAAAGUUUGCGACCUCGAUGUUGGAUUAAAAUUUCCUUUUGGUGCAGGAGUUAAAGGGGUGGGACUGUUCGUCCUUUAAAAUUUUACAUGAUCUGAGUUCAAACCGGCGUAAGCUAGGUUGGUUUCUAUCUAUUGAAGAUUCUUUGUCGUACGUAAGGAUUCAGAGAAUAAAAUAUUUUUAUCUAGUGGUUAAAAGUAAUAACUAAG